CAUGUGAUCAAGCCCAAGAAAGCCUGUGAGAUGCUAAGAAAUGAUGAAGGGCUGUUGCUGUCUCUCCCUGUUGAGGCCGUCGCAAACUGCCAAGCAACUCACCACCAACAGAUGAGCUAGAUCCUUCGUUACCUCUGAAGAUGCUAAGAAUUUGACCUACAAGAUGGGCACAACUAGUAUACAGGCGUAAGGUUUUAUAAGCACCUUCAGAUUUACAUGUUCCAGCUUUGAGCCUACAUUCACAAUAACUGAGUUCCAGUUACCUCCAGUCAACUACACUCCAGAAGUAGAUGUAUCAUCAAAAGGUCACAAGCAGCCUAAUGCUACAUCACAGUGCCUACAUCAUUCCCCUCCCUUCUUGUCAUCACCCAGCCAUUUUAUCAUCUCACAUCAUUACCAGA